GGGGCUCAAUGAUACAGUGUCUGAUUUGCAUUCAAAAUGUUCCAGGUUUGACCCCUGGCAUCUUCA
rnacentral:tRNA from 1 species